rnacentral:rRNA from 1 species
GAUGAACGCUGACAGAAUGCUUAACACAUGCAAGUCUACUUGAUCCUUCGGGUGAUGGUGGCGGACGGGUGAGUAACGCGUAAAGAACUUGCCUUGCAGUCUGGGACAACGUCUGGAAGCGGACGCUAAUACCGGAUAUUAUGAUUGAAUCGCAUGAUUUGAUUAUGAAAGCUAUAUGCGCUGCGAGAGAGCUUUGCGUCCCAUUAGUUAGUUGGUGAGGUAACGGCUCACCAAGACGAUGAUGGGUAGCCGGCCUGAGAGGGUGAACGGCCACAAGGGGACUGAGACACGGCCCUUACUCCUACGGGAGGCAGCAGUGGGGAAUAUUGGACAAUGGACCAAAAGUCUGAUCCAGCAAUUCUGUGUGCACGAUGAAGUUUUUCGGAAUGUAAAGUGCUUUCAGUUGGGAAGAAGAAAGUGACGGUACCAACAGAAGAAGCGACGGCUAAAUACGUGCCAGCCGCCGCAGUAA